UAUUAUUGUAUUUUACAGAUCAUUCAUUCAGGACAUGCUGCGUCUGGGGUUGGCAUCAUUUCCCUUUUGAAUGACAGAAAGUGCAUAAAAGUCUCUUGCCCACGCUGAACUCACACGUGCCUGGCAGGAAGGAGCUCUCACGAAGUGCCAGCUGGAUGUGAGCUUGCUCUGGCAGCAGCAGUGCCGUCCUUGUUUCUGAGCUGCCACCUAUUCACUGGAGUUAGAAACCUUGUGGGAAAAUGAUGCCUAUUUUUGACAACUGGGGUCUUCCUGGCCGAGGUCCCUAUGACCUUCCUUUCAAAAGAAAAUGUGUAGUUUUAGUUCUCAGACAUCUGGGUCUUGCUCUGCUGCCCAGGCUGGAGUGCAGUAGUGUGAUCAUGGCUCACUGAAGCCUCAGCCUCCUGGGCUCAAGUGAGCCUCCUACCUCAGCCUCCCAAGUAACUGGGACCACAGCAUGUUCUUUUAAACUUCCUAAAGAAGCCUAUGAUAACUGGGAACACGGGCCUUUCACUGAGGCAGGAGAAUCACAUGAGCCACACAUGAUAUCCACUGGAGGAGACAGAAAGUCUGGGAGUGU
rnacentral:antisense_RNA from 1 species